AGCAAGAGAAAGAAUUGUUUAACCAAUCAGAAGGAAUGUUUAAUCUCCAGGUGUGGUUUCUGCUUCAUUCUUCACGAAAAUCUAUAUCAUUAUUCAUAGUUUAUGCUUCAUUUUUACAAUUUCUUCUUCUUUAAGGAUGAUGUGGGAACUCGAUCAGCAAGAGGAAGAAUUGUUUAACCAAUCAGAAGAAAUGUUCAAUCUCUAGGUGGCCCAAAAUGAGAGGGAAGAGGACGAGGAGCAUAGAAUGAGAGAUGAUAACGCAACAUCUUCAAGAAGCGUCCAAUUCGUAUCUGCAUCAGUAGUCAUUUGUUGAAAAAAAAAAGUGGAUUGAAACUUUGAGAGAAAGAUAAGAAUGUGGUUGAAAGUAGUUGAGAAAAUAUGAAAUA
rnacentral:lncRNA from 1 species